GGCUCCGCCGUGCCCUCCACGGACUUCACCCUUUCCGUCAUCCCCGGGCCCACCCUUCCCUUCCCCUCUUCAGUCUUCUCCUCCGCCAACCUCCUUCUCCCCUUCCACUUCUUCUGCACUGUCGCCUCAAGCGUGGGGUGAUGGGGAUCGUUCUCCGCUUCCAGCCCUCCCUCGUCGUCAGUACUAAGCUCCUACUCUUCAAGGGUGCUCGUCUCCUACACGGCCGACAAUAGCAACCUCUUCGAUCCAUCUUUUAUUUUGACACUAAAUUUGAUAAGAGGAAAGAGCAUAUUGAUGAUAAUGGGUUCAUCCCUGGAUGGGCAAUAUGCUAAUGAGGAUGCUUCAAAGCUAGUGGAACUUGCUUCAAAAUGUUUACUGUUCGAGGCAAGAGAUGCACAUAGUAAUUUAUAGUGUUACAUAAUUUGUAGCCUAUGACAUUGAUAUUAUUUAUCCUUUUAGAGAUUUGGA